UACAGAGGGAUGCUACCGGGCGACCGGAUGCGGAUCUCGAAAGCCUGUCCCAGUUCGGACUGGAGUCUGCAACCCGACUCCACGAAGUUGGAUUCGCUAGUAAUCGCGCAUCAGCCAUGGCGCGGUGAAUACGUUCCCGGGCCUUGUACACACCGCCCGUCAAGCCAUGGGAGCCGGGGGCGCCUGAAGUCCGGGACCGCGAGGACCGGCCUAGGGCGAAACUGGUAACUGGGGCUAAGUCGUAACAAGGUAAC
rnacentral:rRNA from 1 species